rnacentral:sRNA from 1 species
AGCGGGCCCCGUUCCUAGGGCCACUCCCCCCUGACCCUCCAGCAGAGGAGCCUCUGUCCAGUCCCCCAGGCCCCGACAGCUCCCCACUGCUGCCCACGGCCUGGGCCACCAUGAAGCAGCGGGAGGAUCCUGAGGUAAGAGGGUGCUACAGGGGGGUGGGGAGACGGGCGGCUACAGCUGUCAUAUCAGCCCUGACUCCUUUCCUCCCUCCCAGAGGUCAUCCUGCCACGGGCUCCCCCCAACUCCCAAGGUGCAUAUGGGCGCCUGCUUCUCCAAGGUCUUCAAUGGCUGCCCCCUGCGGAUCCACGCUGCUGUCACCUGGAUUCACCCUGUUACUCGGGACCAGUUCCUGGUGGUAGGGGCCGAGGAAGGCAUCUACACACUCAACCUGCAUGAACUGCAUGAGGAUACGCUGGAGAAGGUGAGGCCCGGCUGGCUGUGGGGGGCAGAGGCCUUGGGGGGGCCUGGGGUGCUGACCAUCUGUCCCUCUGUGGCCUCCAGCUGAUUUCACAUCGCUGCUCCUGGCUCUACUGCGUGAACAACGUGCUGCUGUCACUCUCAGGGAAAUCCACGCACAUCUGGGCCCAUGACCUCCCAGGCCUGUUUGAGCAGCGGAGGCUACAGCAACAGGUUCCCCUCUCCAUCCCCACCAACCGCCUCACCCAGCGCAUCAUCCCCAGGCGCUUUGCUCUGUCCACCAAGAUUCCUGACACCAAAGGCUGCUUGCAGUGUCGUGUGGGUAAGAAAUGGGCUGGGCGGGGUGGGGCGGGGCCUGGUGGGGGGCAGCGCAGGCCCAGCCCGGUGCCCACUGCCUGCUCCCCUGCCAGUGCGGAACCCCUACACGGGUGCCACCUUCCUGCUGGCCGCCCUGCCCACCAGCCUGCUCCUGCUGCAGUGGUAUGAGCCGCUGCAGAAGUUUCUGCUGCUGAAGGUGAGGGGCGGUGGGGGAAGACCCAGGGCACCCUCAGAGCUCUGGGGGGAGAAAUGGAGACCUGAGCAUCCCUGCUGCCCCCUAGAACUUCUCCAGCCCUCUGCCCAGCCCAGCUGGGAUGCUGGAGCCGCUGGUGCUGGAUGGGAAGGAGCUGCCGCAGGUGUGUGUGGGGGCCGAGGGGCCUGAGGGGCCCGGCUGCCGCGUCCUGUUCCAUGUCCUGCCCCUGGAGGCUGGCCUGACGCCCGACAUCCUCAUCCCACCUGAGGGGAUCCCAGGCUCGGCCCAGCAGGUGAUCCAGGUGGACAGGGACACAAUCCUAGUCAGCUUUGAACGCUGUGUGAGGAUUGUCAACAUGCAGGGCGAGCCCACGGCCACACUGGCACCUGAGCUGACCUUUGAUUUCCCCAUCGAGACUGUGGUGUGCCUGCAGGACAGUGUGCUGGCCUUCUGGAGCCAUGGGAUGCAAGGCCGAAGCCUGGAUACCAAUGAGGUGACCCAGGAGAUCACAGAUGAAACAAGGAUCUUCCGAGUGCUUGGGGCCCACAGAGACAUCAUCCUGGAGAGCAUUCCUACUGACAACCCAGAGGCGCAUAGCAACCUCUACAUCCUCACGGGCCACCAGAGCACCUACUAAGAGCAGCGGGCCUGUCCAGGGGCUCCCCACCCCACCCCAUGCCUUAGCUGCAGGCCCUUUUGGGCAAAGGGGCCCAUCCUAGACCAGAGGAGCCCAGGCCCUGGCCCUGCUGGGGCUGAAGGUCAGAAGUAAUCCUGAGAAAUGUUUCAGGCCUGGGGAGGGAGGGGAGCCCCCGACGCCUCUGCAAUAACUGGACCAGGGGGAGCUGCUGUCACUCCCCCAUCCCCGAGGCAGCCCAGUCCCUAGUGCCCAAGGCAGGGACCCUAGGCCUGGGCCAUCCAUUCCAUUUUGUUCCACAUUUCCUUUCUACUCUUUCUGCCAAGAGCCUGCCCCUGCAUUUGUCCUGGGAAACACGGUAUUUAAGAGAGAACUAUAUUGGUAUUAAAGCUGGUUUGUUUUA